rnacentral:snRNA from 1 species
AUACUUAUCUGGCAUCAGAGAUACCAGAAUAUGAAGGUGGAUUUUCCAGGGGGCAUCUUAUCUAUUGCCUCUGGAUGUGCUGACUCCUAAAAUUUCCCCAAAUUUUAAAAGUGGGGAACAUAAAGUGUUUUAACUGGAAGUGAUGUUUCUACACUUCACUUG